rnacentral:lncRNA from 1 species
CAAAUUAUUAAGCAUUUCUCAAUCUGAACAUCAUAGAGAGUGCUCCUAAAUGGUACAAAUUGAACAUAAGCAGUAGCUAAUCACAUCACUACAAAAUGUCAUAAUCCGUAUAUAAAUGAAACUAAUCCUUCAUUAAAAACCAAUAAAAAGUCCUCAUAGAGCAACCAUAUUAGCUAGCUAGGUACCAAUUGCCAAGCAAUUAAGGCUUGGGAGGAAGAAAUGAAUGAACAUUUUGCAACUUUACAUGCAUACUAUGUGCAAUAGAUAACAUGCAUCAAUGAUUUAAUGUCAUAGGCUCAUGGCAAAUGUAUAUUAUAAUUGCCCAGCAAACAGACUUGCAUGGUUGCACCCUUAAAUCUAGGAGGAAGCUAUGCAUUAUUUCCCUUGAAAUUUCGAUUUCUCAACGUCCUUUGUGUGGAACAUUUACCUGUUGAUCACAUAUUCAGAAUAGGACAAUGGAUUCAAGUGCCCACCCUUACUGAUGAGUGAUGAUAUUAUGUCAAAGACUAAAGAAAGGAAGUGAGGAAUGAUGAUAUUCUAGUGUUGUUGAGUUCAUACUAAAUGUAUAGACUCUAACAAACAACCAAUUAAAACAUGACAUCUAAUAUGGACAUUUUAUUAAAUGCUUAUUAAUCUUUACGGUGCAAUUUUCAAAAGCCAAAAUUGAAACCAAAUUGUUUCCUACAUUGCGGUUCGAUUUCAAAACCAAUUAAUUAUGUGCGAUCCAAUCUGAUUUGGUUCGUGUUUCGGUUUUGAUUUUCAAUUUUAAGUGCCUACUCCUAAUAGAUAUAGAAUGAAAUGGAAAAUAUGAGGAAUUGUGGUGCAUGCAAUAAGAGUUAAUGUAGGCAUCAUAUAUACUUAUCUAGAGAGAGAGAGAGAGAGAGAAGAAAAGAAAAGAUAGUGGAAGAAAUAGAUGGUGAUCAAGGAGCUUACUCAAGUUUUUAGCUUUAGAAUUUAGGAACGGGAAUAUGGCAAACCUUAAUGGAAAUUGAUUUAUUAAAUUUCGUGAAGUGUUAUAAUGUUCUUGAUCUUUUUGUUUGAUUAAUGUGGUUGGAUAUUAAUUGGCUAAUUGCUUUAGUUAAGUGUUUACUUAUUAUUGGUUAUGGAAUUAUGGCUGAAAUGCUAUUCGUUGAGAAGAUACUAUGAUACAUGUGAAAGAUGAAAUGACAUUAUUUAUGCAUCAUUCAUGUUGAUGUGGUUAGAACUUCAGUUUUGAGAUUGCUCUAGACAUGAGGCUAAUAGGAAAUGAUCUUUUGUGUAGUUGAAUCUAUUUAUUGUGAAACCAAUUCUCAUGUGAGCUUGGUGUGCACAUUAGAAUAGGAUAUUGGUAGGAUAAAUUGUCGAUUUGGGCUGGAAAUCAAUGAAUUAGAUAAGAUGACUAGCAAAAGGGGUUAUGAACUUGGGAUAUUUUAUGGGGGUUAGUUUGUAUAAUAGAACAUUCGAACACCACUGCAGUGGUAAAAUGCACAGUAUGGGAUGUGCAUGACACACCUCGACCCGGAAUGUCCAUUUGCACUCCGAAUUGAGCUGUGCUAGCCGACACCCGGAGGGUGACGAAGCUAAAAAGUGUAGUGAUGUGGAAAAUGUGAGUAAAUUUAAACCUAAAAGUGCCUAAAUAUAAGAGUACGCAUAUGAGCGAGAUUGAACCCAAUUCACACAUGAUGU